UAGGGAAUCUUCCACAAUGGGCGAAAGCCUGAUGGAGCAACGCCGCGUGUGUGAUGAAGGGUUUCGGCUCGUAAAACACUGUUGUAAGGGAAGAAUGACAUUGAGAGUAACUGUUCAAUGUGUGACGGUAUCUUACCAGAAAGGAACGGCUAAAUACGUGCCAU
rnacentral:rRNA from 1 species